GACAUCUCCGUGCCCUAAUCUACUGGCCUUCUUCAAUCUUCCAAAUUGUUUCAAUUUCUGCCCCAUUUCGAGACGAUUUUUCUUGUUCUGCCCGUACCGGUGUCUCUUGUUCGGUCUCCAACGAGCUUGAAGGCUGAAGCUCCGCCAGUCCGCAGAUCCGACUUCCAAUUUUCGAGUUCUGAUUUAGACUUUGGAUUUCGAGCUCGAUCUUGAUUCCCUUUGCUCGCUGGGUUUGAUUCCUACUUCAGCAGUAGUAUUUCUGAUGAAGUCGGGUAUACCUGCUUAGAUCGGUUUCGGUGGGGGUAUUUGUUUUGCCUGGAAGCUUAAUCCGUGGGAGUUCAGGUCCGAUUGUGGUCUGUCUUCGUAGAUUGAGCUGUUUGACAUCUCCUUGGUCAAAUGAUCCGGAGCUAUGUUUUGGGUUUUGAGAUUGAUUUCUGUAACUUCUCGUUGCCAAUCAUUUCAUUUCUGUCCAUUGGGUUGUCUACGUGCUUUUUUGGCUGAUUAAAAGACCUUUUGAUUUAUAUUUAUUUAAAUCUAAAAACAGAAUUUUAAUUGGAUUUACUUCUUAAAGCUUAUGAUGUGCCCGAUUUCCAGUUUCAUUCUUGCUUUUAUGAGAAAAAAACAAAAUGAAACUGGCAAUACAGAUAUAGAUACUGAGGAGAAAGAUGAAGAGAUUUUCUUUUUUGUUUUUUCUCUUCUUUCUUUCCAAGUUAUUUGAUUUGAUGGUUUUGCUUUUAACAUACAUUCGACAUUGGAUGUUAUAAUUUAUGUGGUUAUCUGUUUAUUUUGAGAGUUUGAAUUAUGAUUUAAACUUUAAAUUUCGAUAAUUUGUAACGAUAUUUUGUGAUUUUAAGCCUUUUAUGACUUAUUGUUGGUUUGUUAGUUUUUGGUCCUUUUUUGAAUAUAAAGGAUCAAGGAUUGUUUUUUUUUUGGCUCAGAAAAGUAUAAUACAUAUAUAUAUAUAUAUAUGUUAUUUUUUUAAUUACAGGUAGAAUCUUACGAUUCACGUUACGAUUCUACGAUUCACGAUUCUACGACCCUCGACCGAUUCUAGCGGAGCUCCGGCUCCUCAUGUUUGUCUAACUUAUUGAUCAAUCCGUUUGCCGACCCGGAGAAGGAGAGAAAGAGAGAGUGGCUGAGUAAGGGGGGUGGUGAUGGCUCUAUCGAUGCCGGAAAUUGCACCUCAAUCAAAGUUGUUGAAGAUCUUACUUGUAACGAUGGUGGUCGACGUGAGCCAUCAGCGCUCCAAAUUUUCCCCGCUCUCCUCUCUUAAGAGACCAGUAAUACAACAUAUAGUAACCUUAUCAA